rnacentral:rRNA from 1 species
GUCGAGAAUCUUCCGCAAUGGGCGAAAGCCUGACGGAGCAAUGCCGCGUGCCGGAUGAAGGUCUUCGGAUUGUAAACGGCUGUCACUAGGGACGAAUCAAAUGACGGUACCUAGGGAGGAAGCCACGGCUAACUACGUGCCAGCAGCCGCGGUAAUACGUAGGUGGCGAGCGUUGUUCGGAUUUAUUGGGCGUAAAGGGUCCGCAGGGGGCUGAUUAAGUCUGACGUGAAAUCUCACGGCUCAACCGUGAAACUGCGUUGGAAACUGAUUGGCUAGAGUGUCGGAGAGGUGAUUGGAAUUCCAGGUGUAGCGGUGGAAUGCGUAGAUAUCUGGAGGAACACCGAGAGCGUAGGCAGAUCACUGGCCGACAACUGACCCUCAGGGACGAAAGUAUGGGGAGCAAACAGGAUUAGAAACCCCUGUAGUCC